AUAACCGGCGGAAACGGCGACUAAUACCCCAUAUGCUGCGAUGCUGCAUGGCAUUGCAAUGAAAGAUUCAUCGGUGGCGGAUAGGCUCGCGGGACAUUAGCUAGACGGCGGGGCAACGGCCCACCGUGGCGACGAUGUCUAGGGGUUCUGAGAGGAAGACCCCCCACACUGGGACUGAGACACGGCCCAGACUCCUACGGGAGGCAGCAGUGAGGAAUAUUGGUCAAUGGGCGGAAGCCUGAACCAGCCAUGCCGCGUGAAGGACUAAGGCCCUACGGGUCGUAAACUUCUUUAGACGCAGAGCAAUAAGGUCCACGAGUGGACCGAUGAGAGUAUGCGUAGAAUAAGCAUCGGCUAACUCCGUGCCAGCAGCCGCGGUAAUACGGGGGAUGCGAGCGUUAUCCGGAUUCAUUGGGUUUAAAGGGUGCGUAGGCGGCCGAGUAAGUCAGCGGUGAAAGACCGGGGCUCAACCCUGGAAGUGCCGUUGAUACUGUUUGGCUGGAAUGAUCCCGCCGCGGGAGGAAUGAGUGGUGUAGCGGUGAAAUGCAUAGAUAUCACUCAGAACACCGAUUGCGAAGGCAUCUCGCGAGGGGUCAAUUGACGCUGAGGCACGAAAGCGUGGGGAUCGAACAGGAUUAGAUACCCUGGUAGUCCACGCGGUAAAC
rnacentral:rRNA from 1 species